UUGAAACAUUGCGAAGGAGGUUGAGCUGGCUACUCGCAAGUGCUUGCCUCCUUUCAAUCUCUUCAUCCACCUGUGCACCUUAUGUAGGGGGAUUUUGUGGGUUUUACUACCUGUGACUUCUCUCUAUGUCUUUACACACUCUUUAAUGUAUGUCUAUGAAUGUUAUCUAGGGACUUUAUUGACCCUAUAAAAAGUUAUA
rnacentral:misc_RNA from 1 species